GAAUGAGCUUACGGUGCACCCUGAUAAAUUGGGUCCUGGGAAGCUUGUUUCUUUAUCUGAUGAUGCUAAAACAAUAAUUACGUCAGAACUUGGAGCCAAACAUCUUCAAGUGUGGUGGUGUGAUAUGAGUUCUGGAAAAUUUAGUAGAGGUCCUGUUCUGUCCAUGAAGCAUCCUCCAUUUGUCUCUGAAUGCAGAAAUAUUAGCAAUCAAGAAGACAGCGUAGUUGUCUUGUCAGUAUCAGUAUCAGGUGUAGCUUAUUUAUGGAAAUUAAAGAUCCUUUCUGAAGAUGAGGUUAGU
rnacentral:misc_RNA from 1 species